CGGCAAAUAUACCUCGAAGUCUCUGAAGAACGCCUCGCUUCACUGAAAAUAGGGCUGAGCCGAAGAACCUGGAUCUACACAUGAAAAACAUGUGCAGGAAAGGGCAUGAGUACACCACAGCGGUACUUAGUAAGUGUCAAGCCUAACCUCGGUCGGGUAGUGACGAGGAAGGUCAAGGCUCUACUGGUUAUAUAUAUAUGACAUGGUAAGAAGUAUGAAAUGAACCAGUAUGAUUAAAGUACUAACAGUUGGUAAGGAAUUAAAGACAAAGAAAGAAUAUAACUCAGUACACAGAAAUAACAACAGGGGGACUACCAGGAUAUCAUCUCGUAGUCCCAAACGUAAAUGUGCAGGGGGAUCUACCGGAAUACGGAUCCGUAGUCCCAAAGUAUAUAUCCAAUACAGGAGAAUCUACCAGGUGCUGUUCCGUAGUCCCAAAUCUAAAUGUGCAGGGAAUCUACUAGAAUAUCGAUCCGUAAUCCUAAAGUAAAUAUCCAGUACAGGGAAAUCUACCGGGUGCUGUCCCGUAGUUCCAAAUAUAAAUAUUCCGGGGGAUCUACCGGAAUACCGAUCCGUAGUCCCAAAGUAAACAAGCAGGGGAUCCCCGGGAUAUUGUCCUGUAAUCCCAAAGUGAACACACAACAAUAUCAGAAGAAUUUAUGGUUCUAUUAUAUAAUUAAACAGGAAAUUCUACUUUUACAUGCUGCACAGAGUACAAGUAGACAACUAAAGUAGGUAAGACAAUUAAAUCACAUAAUCAUGAUUUUCCUAAACUAAACAUGAGUUUUCAAGCACAAGUAUUGCUUAGUCACAAGAAAAAUACAGAUAUUUACGUAAUGGAAAUGGUUUUUUAAACAAUUAGAACGUGUACGCACUCGUCACCUCACGUGCACGACACUCAUAUAACAACAGUACCAAAUCCUAAGGGGAGUUCCACAAUACAAGGUUAGACAAGCCACAUACCUUGAACCGGCUCAAAAAUCAACCCGAAGUCACGCUCUUGCCACGAGUAUCCAACUUCGGGUUGCCCAAAUCUAAUCAAAAUAAUAUCACAACGUAAAUACAACUACAAACAACUAAUUUAGCUAAUGAAAUCGAAUCUAAGGCAAGAAAAUAGAAAAAAAAGCUAAAAAAUUCUUCCCGGGCCCAUCUCUCGAAAUCGGAUAAAAGUUACGGAUUACGAACUCCCAUUCACCCACAAUUCUAACCAUACCAAAAUUACUCCAAUCCGAUAAAAAAAUCUUGAUCAAAACCCCAAAAUUAAGCCUAAGAACUUUUCCAAAAUAUUUCCCAAUUUCUCACCCCAAAUCCUAAAUUAGAGGAUAAAUUCAUAAUUUGAUUAAUGGGUUAUAAGAAAAAAGGAGUUAGGAAUCAUUACUCACAAGCUUCCUCCGAAAAUCUCUCCAAAAUUUUCCUCCUACCGAGCUCCCAAUUCAAUUUUGCGAUAUGAGCCCAAAACCCUCGAUUUUGAAAUUUAUGUUCUGCCCAGACGCGUUCUUCUAUGCGAAAGCGAGACCAUUGUCGCAAACGCGAUGCAAAAAAAUCCACUGGCCAGUCUUCCUCCUUCGCGAAUACGAGGGUCCACUCGCGAACGCAUAGCUUACGCUGGCGAACCCUACGUGAACGAGAGGACCAUGUCGCGAACGCGAAGGCUUAAGGGUUCAUACCUUCGCGAACGCGGGAGCAUCAUCGCAAACGCAAAGCACAACUCAGUUGCUUCACCCAGAUGCUCUACGCGAACGUGAGACACCUCUCGCGAACACGAUGAAGGUUUUCUCUACAAUAUAACAACAGAAAAUCUGAAACUUCUCUAAGUCCAAAAAUGACCCGUUGAGCAUGUGAAACACACUCGAGGCCCCCGGGACCUCAACCAAACACUCCAACCAAUCCUAAAACAUCAUACGAACUUAGUCCAACUCUUGAAUCACAUCAAAAAAUGUUAAAACCAUGAAUCGCCCUCCAAUUAGAACCUAAAGAACUUGAAAUUUCAAGAAUCCAACAACCGAUGCCGAAACCAACCAAACCAAGUCCGAUUGACCCCAAAUUUUGCACACAAGUCACAUUCAAUAGUACGGACCUAUUCCAACUUUUAGAAUCGGAUUCCGACCCCGAUAUCAAAAUCUCGCUAUCGAUCCGGAAACUUUAAAAAUUCAACUUUCGGCAUUUCAAGUCUAAAUAAGCUACGGACCUCCAAAACACAAUCCGUACACGCCCCUAAGCCCGAAAUCACCAAACAGAUCUAACAGAAUACUAGGAAUUCCAUUCCGAGGCCAUCUUUAUACUGCUUUGACUACGGUCCAAAUUCUAAAUCUUAAGCUUUCAUUGAGGGACUAAGUGUCCCAAAAUACUUCGAAACUCAAAAUGAAUCCUCCCGGUAACUCACAAUAGCAGAAACAAAUACGGAGAAAGCAAUUAAUAGGGGAUCGGGGCGUUAAUUCUUAAAACGCCCGGCGGGGUCGUUACACAAUAGUAAUCAUGGUAUACUAUAUAUAAAGAAUAUUAUGGAUAUCACUUAAUAUACCGGUAAUUGUAGUAUAUCAUUAUUCAAAUGCAAUCAUGAUAUACUACAAAGUAUACCACAAAUAUUGGGAACCAUUUAACAUAAAUAAAGUAUAUUUGUUGAAUCAUAAUUUAAAAGUAAUCAUAGUAUAUCCUACAAUAUCCCUCAUGGUAUACGAUGUAGUAUACCAAGGGAUCUUAUGAAUAUUAUUUAACAUACUCAAAUAAAUUAUAACAUAAUGCACCAAUAAUCAUGAUAUAUUAUGUAGUAUUCCAAAAAAAGAGAAUAUCAUUUAAAUUUAAGAAAAAUACUUGAUAACAUAAUAAAAUAUUUUAUUAACAAGUGAAAUAAUAUAUUAACAACAUUAAUACAAAUAUAAAUACAAUUUUAGUAUCAUCUUUUUUUCAUUUUAAAAUGCAGAAAUAUUUUUGCCGCUUUGGUUAGGUUGACACUGUCAUGCCCCAAAAGCUAAAGUACUACAUGAUUGGCACUCAACUUAAGCAAUAUAUUGAGUGAACCCUUAACUAAGUUGUACUAAGAAUCAUGAUAACUGAAGUAAUCCAAAAUGAUGCCAUGGCAUAUUUAUUAACUAAAAAAACUAAAUUCAAAUUGAGUGUUAAGUCAUAAAUCUCAACAAAAUACCCAACUGAGAAUAAGAAUUGUGUAAUGUCCGCUAGACUAAGUCGCUUUUCACAUAUGACAAUGGAAUAUAGUAAGAAACUCUUAUCUCUCUCUAAAGCAACUCCCCCUAUUCCUCUAAUUACACGAGGCUCAUUCCCCAUUAAUGCACUAUCUUCAACAUGACCCAUCUUCCAACUAAUUAUACACCAACCACAACUGAUCCUCUAGAUCUUAGUUAGAUGCACUUGGAUGUUGUGCCGACCUGAUAGGUCACUUUAAGUACUAGCCUUAAUUAUCAUGAUUCGAGAACUUCCUUAGCUUCAUUUGAUAUUUCUUGGUUUGUGUGUGUGAUCUGUGUCACUUUUCGAAAUGUUUUUAUGUGAAAUUUUGAAGAAAAUUAGAGUGUUGACUAAAAAUGACGCUGGAGUUGAUCACGGUCAAAAUUCAAGGUAAACUACCCCGGAUUUGUAUUUUGACAAUUCUAGAUUUUGUGAUUUUGGAUUUGGGCAUAUACCAGGAAUUGAAUUCGGAGAUCCCUAGGUGGAUGACUUGUUUUGUCGAAAGUUUGCAAUUUGUAUGUUUGGAAAUUUUCUAGGUUUGAUCGUAGUUUGACUUUAUGGUUAUCGAGUUCGAAUUUUUAUUUUGGAACUUGAAAUAGGUUCAUAUUGCUAUUUUAAACUUGUCUACAAAAUUCAAUGUAAUUCGGAGUUGGUUUGGCAUGAUUAAGAUGUUUGGUUGGAAUUCUGGAGAUUCUUCAGUUUUUUUUUUGAAUUUAAUACGUUUUGAUGCCCGAUUCGUGAUUCUAGAUGUUAUUUUGAUGAUUUGAUUGUGUGAGAGAGUUUAUAUGUUGUUAUUACACUUGUGUGCAUGUUUGGUCUGGAGCCCGAGUGGCUCGGAUGAGUUUCGAAUAUGUUAUGGAUGAGGUCGGUGUCAUGACCCCAAUUUCCCUCCAUAGGAUGUCGUGACGGCAACUUGUCUCUCAGACUAGGUAAGCCCAACACUUACUGAAUUAAUAGUAAAAUUCAACCAUCAACUGAUGACUAUGAAAUAUAAAUCUCUAUACACCACAUACAAUCCCAAAACCAGUAGUACAAGUUAUAAGCUCUAUUAAGUUUUCUAGAAAAUUCCAAAAUGCAACUGUUCGGGAUAGAAAUAAACUGUACAAGAGGAAAUUUCAGAAGGUGACUCUGAGGCCUGCGAACGCAACGAUAGGUUUACCUUGAGUCUCCACAGCAAACCCAAACAACUAGCUAGUGAACAACCAACUUCGAAGUACCUGGAUCUAUACAAAAAUAUGCAGAAGUGUAGAAUGAAUACACCACAGUGAUACCCAAUAAGUAUCAAGACUAACCUCGGUAGAGUAGUGACGAGAGAUAGUACUCCUACUAGACUAAACAACCUGAACAAGUAUGAAGGCGAACUAACAGAGAAACAAUAUUAAUAUAAAGCUAAUUAAGCAUGGUAAGGAGUACAAAACAAUGCUUGCAAUGAUAUACUAGUAACAACAAUUUUUAAUAUGAAGCAAACAGGUAAUAAUGUUGUAGAGUAAGCUAAAUACAAUCUAAGUCCGAUGAAAUCAAAUAAAAGAAAAAUCAAUAACAACUGAAUAAGAAUAAUCACUUUCACACCAGAUUUAUUCAAGAAUUUCCAUGAGGUACCAAAUCUCAUAAUCACAGAUCCCCGGUCCCAAUUCAUGAAUCCUAAUCACUUAGCAUCUUGUGCCCAUAUUACAAUUCAUGAACAAACAGGCGAUUCAUGUACCAAGAGAGUGACAAUAUCUAAUAUCCGCACGGACCACUCAUGUGCCAACAAUAACAAUGACUCAUGACCAUACAGACACUCAAGUGCCAGUAGAACAACUCUCACACAGAAGGUAAGUAGACGAGAGUACAUGUAAAUGGUCUAUAACAUCAGGAUUCAUCUUAUUAAACCUAUAUGGGUGAUUAAAUCAUGUGUAUGCUUGUGCAAGUGUCCUAACAUAACUCAAGUCAACAAGUAAGAGUAGUAACAAUAAAUGGCACAUAAGAAACGAUCACCACAAAAUGUACUAUAUAAUAAAGACAGUAAACAACAAGAUCAACUACACAGAACUAAACAAAUAUUGCAACACGAAGAAGGACAAUUAAUAGUAUGCAAAGGAAACAAUGAUCAAAGACAUGUACAAAAGAAUGAGAAAAUGUCAAUAAGAGUCACUACUGAGGUACCACCUCGUUGUCUCAAAUAACGAAAUGUAUCACAAUCUUUUCUUAUAUCACUGCGGGAGCCUUUACAUUUAGUUUUGAAAAUUAUUUUUCCCAAAAUAGCAUUCCACGUUUUAUCCCACCUUAUCAAAUCGUAUGGCUUCUAGCAGUUCCCCUACUAGUCAAGCGUAUCAAGCCCACCUUAUCUCACCCCAUGCGUUUCAACACCCAGACUUUAUACCACCGCAUGCGUAUCAAUAUCACAACGUAUCACAAUCGGACGUCAAGUGCCCACAAUCACAAUUUGCUAGAGAAACCAAGCAAUAAUAGAAUUUCACAAUAAGGAGCCCACAACUCAACCUCAAUGUACAACAACAACAACUACAACAAUAAUACGAGAAUAUAGCAAGUAAAUAAUCACAAGACCUUCAUAAAUUAAAGAAACGAAAGAACGAGCUCACAAAGAAAGGCACAAUAGGGGAUAAUGGUCUCCACAAGAAUAGCUCAACUAUGGAGAGAUAAUGUGUAUCAAUUAUUCCACAAUAGUACAAUUUGACGACAAUAGAGAUAACAUGAAUAAUUAACUCCAAAUAAGAAUACGUCAAUAAUGAAAUGAAUAACAAACUUCAUUCUCUCAUUACAGAAAGGAUAGCAUGAUAAUAAAAGAGGCAACAACUUCAAUUAAGGCACAUAAGAGUCUAAUCGGUAAUAAGGGUAGAACAUGAAGCAAUUAAUUUUAAAUAAGACACGUAAGGGUGAAUUUAGUAGGGUAAUUUAACAUGACAAAACAACUUUAUAUCUAAUGAACAUAAGAACCUAAGAGCCCUAAAUGGUCAAAUUUCCACAAAUAAGCUCGAGCGCGUACUCGUCACCUCGCGUACGUAGCCUUCACAUGAAACAAUUAGCAUAAAUAACUGAAAUCCUAAUGGGUAGUUCCCUCACACAAAGUUAGGCAAGAUACUUACCUCAAAUAAGCUAGACCGAUACUCUAAAAUGACCUUUUUGAGUGAAACAACCUUCGGAUGACCAAAAUCUAGCAAAAAUAACUUCAAAUCAUAAAUAAAACUCAUAGAAAACAAUUCCUGAUAAUAAAGAUUUGAUCUUUAAUUAAAACUAAAAAGUCAACCCCCAAGACCGCACCUCGAAAUCUCAUAAAAUUCAAAAAAAAAUGAACACUCAUUCCGAUACGAGUCCAACCAUACAAAAAUUAUCAAAUUCUGAUAUCGAAUCGCCCUACAAAUACUCAUUUUACAUUUUGAAUAAUUUUUACAAAGUUUCCCAUUUUCUUCUCUUCAAUUCAAUAAUUUAAUGAUAUAAAUAAGUUUGAAAUCAUGAAAUGUAAACAAUUUCGAAUAUAGAAUUCUUAUAAGCAAUUUCAAAUGUAACCCUUCAAAAAUCGCCCAAAUCUAAGGCAUUUAUCUUAAAAUGUGAUAAAAUAGCCAAACCCUCGAAAUAGAGUUCUUAUAACUCUGCCCAGUCAUUCCUCAUAUGCGACUACGGAAUACACCCCGCGAUCGUGGAAAGAAAAAAUCAGUACUCAUGGAAAUAAGCUAUGCGUUCUCCAAAAGCACCUCGCGAACGCGAUGAACACAUUACAUAACCUUCGCGAACGCAUACCAUAUUUCGCGAAUGCAAUGAGUAACAUUCCACCAGUCCUCAGCUCCCUUAUGUGAAUGCGGAACACACUACGCGAACACGAACAACAACCAGCUAAACCUUCACGAAUGCAUGCCCAUUGUCGUGUUCGCGAUGAGAAAAAUACUAUGUUUCCCAGAAUCACUUCGCUAUCGCAUCUUCAUCUUCGCUAUCACGAAGAGCAAUAGUGACACCCGAAACCAACAACUCAAAUCAUGAAGAAAUGGCCCUAGCCCAUCCGGAACACACCUGAGACCCCCGAGAUCCCGUUGAAAUAUACGAACAAGUUCCAUAACAUAACAUGGACCCACCCUAGGUAUCAAAUCACAUAAAACUAUGUCGAAACUAUGAAUCGUACUACGAAUCGAACUUAUAAAUUUUCCAAUCUUCUAACUUCCAAAACUAGCACUGAAACAUAUCAAAUCAACUCAAAAUAACGUCAAAUUUUGCAUUCAAAUUCCAAAUGGCAUAAAAGCAACUAAUCAAACUCUUGAAAUUGCAUUCCGAUCCCGAUAUCACCAAAGUCAACUCUUGAUCAAACCUCUUAACCUUUUAAAACUUCAACUUUCCAAUUUAGCAGAAAUGCUUCAAAUUAUCCUACGAACCUUUGAAUCUAAAUUCGAACGCAUGCCUAAGUCCAAAAUCAGCAUACGAAGCUAUUAAAAUCAUCAAAACACCAUUUUAGAGUCGUCUACAUAAAAUCAAACUGCAGUUAACUCUUAUUGCUUAAGAUUCUAAAACAAGAAUCCUUCUUCCAAAUUGACCUUGAAUCCUCCAAAACUAAACUCGGGCACACAUGCAAGUGAUAACACAUAAUUCAAAGCUGCUCGAUACCUUACGUUGUCGAACAAGACGAUAAUUUUUAAAACAACCGGCCAAGUCAUUACAAUUGUUGAUUUGAGGAUUGUUGGUGCAGUGCUUAGCAAUUGUGAGGUCGGGCUCAGAUUUGCAAGCAUCGUUUUUGCGAACAAUAGUUUGCAUUUGUGAGUAGUGGCCUCGGCUAGGUGGCAUUGUAUUUGUGAGGAAAUGGUUCACAAUCACAAAUUGGCUGGGACCGCUUUUGCGAUCAUCUUGGUUGCAUUUGCGACCUCUGGAACUUUGGACAACAUCGCAUUUGUGAAGCUUUGGGCGCAUUUGCAAUGGGAGCAGACAUCACAAUUGCGAAGUCAAUGUCGAAUUUGUACCUUCCGUUUUGAAUAACAGGCACUGCAAUUGCGAGUCAUUCUUUGCAAUUGUGAGGGCUCGCAAUUACAAACCCGUAAAUGCAAUUACAACACAUGCGCCUGAACAUAAGGUCUGAAAAUCGAGAUUUGAGUCUCAUGCUCUCAUUUUGGAACCCCAAACUCGGUAGGAGGCGAUUUUGAGAGGGGAUUUUUACCUACAAUUAUUGGGUAAUUGAUUUUGAUCUAUUUUCAAUUAUAUUACACGAUUAUACAUUAGAUUUAACAUCAAAUUCAUGAUAAUAUAAUAGAAAUUUUGGAGAUUUUUAUCUAUGUUUUUAAAAAAUAAAAAUUUGGAAUUUUAGAGUUGAAUUGGACUUGGAUUUUGAAAUAAAAUACAUAAAUAAACUCGUGGGGUUAUAGGUAGUCAAGAUCUACACUUGAACUCGGGUUUUGACCGGGCGGGACCGGACUUGACUUAAAAAACGGUCGUGGUUGAGUGUUAAUUUGGUUGCGGAAAGAGGUAAGUAUUGUGUAUAACCUUGACUUGAGGAAAUUAGGACCCGUUGAUCCAUUUUCUAUGUGAAUUAUGUGGAGAAACGUCGCAUAUCCGAGGUGUCGAGUUUAUAUGCACCGUUGUGGAAUUUAGCAUGAGAGAGUGGGCAAUUUAUUUCCAUAUCUUUGUCAUUCAAUGUUAUUUCUUGUUAUAUGCUUUAAUUAUUGCACUUGACAUCUAUGUUUUACUUGUUCACUUGUUACUUCAUUGUUAUUUACUUGAUUUGUUCAUUUCUCAUUCAAUAAUCUGCUUACUUGCUAUUUGUUCCUACUUGCCUUAUUUGUAUAUUCUCAUUAUCACAUGUUUUACCUACUUUUAUUGUCCUUCUAUUAAUAGAUGUACUCUAUUAUGUUAUUUUGCUUUCGUGAGUCAUUUAGCCAUUCUUGUAUAAUGAGUUGUUAAGGCUUAGAAUAUCGAUGUGUUGGAUAUCUUCCAUUCGUAUUGGUGGGUCAUAAAUGUAUUGUGUGCUCCAUCUUUUUUGGUUUUGAUAUUUCUUAAAUAUUGGUAUUGAGUUGUUUAUGUUAAUAAUUUAAUAUUGUUGGGAUCGGAUUGCGCGCUGCAACGAUAUUGAUAUGAAUUGAUAUUGUGGGAUUAGGCUGCACACCACAGCAGCGUUGAAAUGAUAUGAUAUUGUAAUGACCCGACCGAUUGUUUUGAGAGUUCUAGCCAUGUUUCCCCAUUUAUUGUUCCUUUUUGUAACUUGUCGGGUUUGUCAGUUCGGGUCCGAAGAGGUUUCGAAAUGAAUUGAGACACAUAGUCUCAAAGUUGAAAGCUUAAGUAGAGAAAGUUGACAGGAUAUUGACUUACGUGCAAAUGACUCCAAAAUGGAGUUUUGAUGGUUCUGUUAGCCCUUUGGGUGAUUUCGAACUUAGGAACAUAUCCGGAUUGUGAUUUGAAGGUCCGUAGUGAAAUUAGGCUUCAAAUGGUGAAAGUUGGAAAUUUGAAAAGCUUGACUGGGAGUAGACUUCUUGAUAUCAAGGGCAUAUUGGAAUUUUGGGAUUUGGAGUAAGUCCAAGGUGUCAUUUGUGACUUGUGUACAAAUUUUAGGGUCAAUCGGAUGUGAUUCAAUAGGUUUCGGCGUCGUUAAUAGAAAUUGGAAGUUUAAAGUUCAUUAGGCUUGAAUCAAUGUGUGAUUCAUGUUUUUGAUGUUGUUUGAGGUGAUUUUAGGGCUCGAAUAAAUUCGUAUGAUAUUUUGGGAGACGAUGGUAUGUUUGGUUGAGGUCCUUGGGGCAUCGGGUGAGUUUCAGAUAGUUAACGGAUCAAUAUUGGACUUGGCAUUUCAGUUGAAGACUACUGGUAUUUUGUUACUGGUUUCCUUUUAUGCGAUCGCAUGGGCAGGUCCGCGACCAUGUGUCACGCCUCUUUUUUACCACCCCGAAAGUAGUAUAAGGGAGUUUUUCCAAUUAAAGUGACGUGGAAACGAGAUUAUUUUAUUUAAAAUUCAGAGUUGCCACUUGGGAUAAUUUAUGGUAUCCCAAAUCACCGGUUUAAAAUCCCAAAUCGAGGAAGUUUGACUCUGUUUACGGUUCGCGAACACAGAAAUCCAGGUAAGGAAUUCUGUUAACCCGGGAGAAGGUGUUAGGCAUUCCCGGGUUCUGUAAUUUUAGCACGGUUGCUUUGAUCAUACUUGGCUGGUUAAAUUGUCUAAUUACUUAUUUUAGAAUGGAUUAAAAUGUAUGGCUCAAGUUUUAUACCACAGGGUCCUUGCAUAUGUCUAUGUCCCAUUUAAACUCCAAAUAAUCAGGUUCUUACCAUCGCAUGGCCCAAAUAUCUUAGCUAAUAGUCUGUUUUAUAAUCUAGCCCAUUAUCAAUUAAACCCAGGUCCAAACUAACUCUUCAAAUCAGUCCAUCCUAAAAGACCGAAUCUUUGAGAUAAUCACAGCUCCAUUCUUAAACAUCUUUAUUUUUUACAACUAAUACUUCAUGAAACUUUAGAGAUUUUCUCCAAAUUAUAUUAAACUAAUAAUGAAUAAUGAAAAAUUCAAGCCUUAACUAAUCAUGGAACUAACUUUCCUAUAAAACUAAACCAUUAAAUAUAACUAAAUUAUUUUAAGAAAACUAACCAGGAGCAGAAAAACUAUUGUUGCUUAUGGAUUAAAAGGGAGCAAACAUGUUCUUGCUAAACUUUGAACAAACAAAAGAUAACAAACUAAUGGACAAAAAUAAAGAAAACCUGCUCGAACAGAAAAGAAGCAGCAGCGCUGGAACCAUGCCGGCAACUCGAACGAAACCGACCUCACUCAAACUCCAUCUUGGAAAAGCGAAAAUCCGAAACAAGGAAGAUGAAACAGAACUUUUUAUGUGCUCUAUUUUGUAGUUGUCUUGCGAAUUAGUUUUAGAUGUUAGAAUAGUGACAAACUGAUUUUUGACGGAGCUUAGGACGAAAAGAAGAUGGGAGAUUUUGCUCUCUCUGUUUUCAACAUCUCUUUCUCAUGUGCCUUCUAUUUCGUCUUCUCACUCUAUGUGUGUGCGUGUGUGUGUAUGGCUGCUGGUUCGAUAUGGUAGAGGCAUAGAUGGGGUUGUUUGGUGUGAGGUGAGAGGUUUUCCUAAAGGUCCAUGGCUGUUGUAGCUGUGAUAGAUGAAGAAAAAGAAGCAGUGGCGAUGGGUGGUUGUUGCGGUGGUGUUGCGUAUAGAACUGGUGAACGUUGGUUGUUGCUGAAGGUUUAGGGAUGAAGAAACCGAGGUUCAAGCCAUUGGAAUGUGAAGGAGAGGAGGAGGGUCGUAUGGGGUGGGGUUCGAAAUUGUUCUCUGCUGCUUCUUUAGAUGCUUAUUUUGUAUAUGUUCGUCCAAAUCUAGAAGAAGAACGGCGGAUAGCUAUACGGGUAUAGGUCUUAGAGUCUAGGUAUUUUUUAGG
rnacentral:lncRNA from 1 species